GAUCAUGGCUCAGGAUGAACGCUAGCUACAGGCUUAACACAUGCAAGUCGAGGGGCAGCAUGGUCUUAGCUUGCUAAGGCCGAUGGCGACCGGCGCACGGGUGAGUAACACGUAUCCAACCUACCGUCUACUCUUGGACAGCCUUCUGAAAGGAAGAUUAAUACAAGAUGGCAUCAUGAGUCCGCAUGUUCAUAUGAUUAAAGGUAUUCCGGUAGACGAUGGGGA
rnacentral:rRNA from 1 species